UAACCCCAGGUAACGGUCUGAUGGUAAGUUCUGAUUUUCUCAAUAGUUAUUAUUUGUACAAUUUUAACUGGCAGCUCCUUAUAUCUGGAAAUACAGAGGCAUGUGGAUAUAGCAAGAAAGCCCAUUGGCAUCAUAUUAAAUGAGUGCAUUUAGACCUGGGCUUCACAUAUGAUUAUCCAGUGAGUGAAAAUUUUACAGAAAUGGCUUUCUCAACACAUAGCUUGUCAUUGUUUUCAUCAUUAUUGGAAAAUUUGACAUAAUUUGUAAUCUGAGAAAGAAAACCAAAAUUUAGCUUGAUAAUCAGCGUCAAGCUGCAAUAAUUGUCUAAAAAUCCCCAGAAUUUAAUUUUAACUUAUUUCUGCUUCUAUAAUGUUUUUUUUCCAAACACUUCACCUUAUAAACACUACACCCACUCAGUUUUAGAAAAGAGGGGACAGGCUAUUUGAAUGCAUUGCUAUCUUCUGCCAUGUGGAAGAUAAGAAGUCACUCUGGGUAAUUCAGGAUCCUUACUUAUGUUAUCAAUUAUUCCUUUUGUGUUUUGUUUAUUCAACCUCUAACUUAAACUCAGUUUUUUCUGUUGACUCUUAACUGUGCUUCCUUCUGAGAGAUAGAGAUAGAUACAGAAAAGAAAGAAGAGAAAUCAUUAUGAACAAAACAAAAACUCAGGGCUUACUACCUUUCACUUGUCAUCCUCUCUGUUCCACUUUUUGCAGCUGAAUCUGUGGCCAUUUCCUCAUAUGUUCUCACUGCUUAGCCUGCUCUCAUGCAGCGUGCAGCCUUCCCUUUCCAGCAAACAGCUCUUGAUGAUAUUACCAAUGGCCUCCCUGUCACUAACUAAAUAACAUUUUUUCAGUCUGUCUUACUUGCUGUAUCAGCAUCAUUCAACACCAAUUCUCACACCCUCUUUCUUGAAACAUUUUCUUUCCUUGUCUUCUGGGACACAACAGCCAUCUGUUUUUCCUCUGUAAAUGUUUCUCCAGUGUAUCCUUUUAUAAGUGUAUUUUUACGACCCAGCUGCUAAAUCGUGGAGUUAAUAAAGGCUUGCUCCUAGGCCUUCCUUUAUUCACACUAUCCAAUGUGAUCUCAUCCAUAUAUGGAGCUUCAAUUACCGCUUAUUAAUCUAUUCAAGUGGUUCCCAAAACUGUAUCUCAGGCAUACACUUCUUCAGAUCCUAGAAUCACAUAUAUAACAUUUUACUCGACAGCUCUUCUCAAUAGCUAAUGGCAUCUCCAAAGUUAAAGUGUGAAACAAACAACUCCCGAUUUUCGCAUUACGCUUCCGCUCUAAAGAAACCUAGCUUGGUUUUCAUUCUGUGUUUUCUAGCUCAUGAAUGAUACCACCAAUCACCUGGUUGCUGAUUUAAAAACCAGAGUCACUUUUUACUCCCUAUGUUCAUCCUAAAACUAAGUACUACAGAUUUCACCUGCUAAAUAUCUCUCAAAUCUCUCAAUCUAUCCACUUGUUGUUUUUUUUUUUUAUCUCCAUGAAACACUCUCAUCUGUUUUGGGUGGACGACUACACGGGGCCUGCUCAUGAGGUUACAUCUCUUAUCCUUAUUUCUUCGUACACUAGACUCAGUGGUCUUUUCAGAAGCAAAUCGUAUGAUGUCAGGCUUUUCCUCUUAAAUACUUUCCCACUAUCCUUAGGGGCCAUGCCUGCUGCACUUUUCUACUUACCAUUAAAAUUGGGCAAAUCCAUAAUCAACCAGCUAAGCCCUUUGCCACUGUCUGUGAGUCAGUCUAAGUUCUACCUAAGGCCACUUUUAUUUCCAAACAAAGUGGACAACCAGAUGCAUGACAUGAUAACCAUUGGAGAAUUGAAGAUAUGUUAACCAUUGGAGAAUUGCACCUCCCCACUAAAUUUUCCAGUCACCCUUCAGCAGAGCUGUAAAGUCAUCAAUGCCCUUUUUUCUUUUUCUUAUGUCCAUGUAGUAAGCUGAUUGAUGCAUGGCCCAAGCUUGAACGUUUUCUUCUUCUGCCAGCUAGUUAUAAAGGACCUCCCUCCCAUUCAGCCAUAUGAAUUGAGAGCCAUAUGAAUUGCAAUAAUGGUGGAUGGCAUGGGGAUCUAAGACACCGGCUCCUGCAUCUUAUUUGGAACCCCUGGUCUGGCUUAUGCCCAAUCCCUGAAAUACCAUUUCUGUGUUACAUUAGAUUGUUACUGGGUACACCUGAAUUAUGAUGCAGUAGUUCUGAUAGACACUAGAUUAUAAUGGGUAGUUCUGACAUAGUGACCUCUACCCUAUGUUCAGUCACUUCAUCUUUUCCAAAUCCCAGUAGCAUGCCAGAAGCUCUAUGUUGGCAUGGUCUUGCAGAUAGUAUGGUUUUGCUCCAGGAUCAUACAGUCUAUGUUAUGAUUCUUCUUUUUGGAUUUUACAUAAACUACCAUUAGGCUUGCUCAUCAAAGAUGUUUCUGGCAUCAUAAUAUUUUCUGGGUUGUUUGUCCCAAGGAGCAGGGCCACUUAUACCACAGCCUAGUUCUGUUUUAGACUCUGCUCAAAGCUGACAGCCCUUCAUGUCAUGCGGUAAAUGAGUUUGAGCAGUAUUCUCAAGUAUGGAACUUGCUAUGCUCAGAAGAUUGUGUAGCCUAUAAGGGCAUAGUAACCGUGGAAGCUUCUCCAGGACUGAAAGUUUUUAAAUGCUGGUGAGUUUGUGGAGGUGCAACUGAAACUCAUUCUCUCCACUCCUCACCCUGUGGCACAUAUUAACACGAUGGCCCUCUGUCUUCACCUUUCUCUGUGAAGUGCUGUCACUCCUUCAAGUCAUUAGGUUGCCCUUUGCACUAGAGUAAAUUCCAUCGUAUGAUGUGUGAAGGGAUACAGUAUGUAUCCCUUAAGUAUGGUGUCUCCAGUUUCUCUAGAGCAUGGAUGUAUUUUCAGUUUCCCCUGCAAUGCUGCAUACAUUGGACUUAACAUAACAUGUGGUCUGAGUUCAGGCUCUGCUGUUUGUCAACUAAAUGGCGCUAUGCAUAUUACUUAUUAUCUUGGGUUUCAGUUUCUUUACCUGUAAAAUGAAGCAUUGGAAUAAAUUAUCUCUAAGGACACUCAUGGGAUGAAUCUCCUUUAAUUCUAUGAUUACUAUUGAUUAAGGAAAUCUCUGCUCAUUAUCUUCUAUGUGCACAUAAGGGAUUUUAUCGUGGCAUGACCCUCAGCCUACUUGAUGUUUAAACAACUUGCCAUCAGACAUUACUGAGAACUUUACUAAUUUAAGACUACUCAAAUGAAUUUGCAUUGAAAUUGUGACCAAGACCAAGAGAGACUUGUCAAUUCCCUUCAAUAAUCAAACAAUAAAUGCUUUUCCUUAAUUUGGAAGCAGCUUCCUGCUUCUUGCCCUAUCUCUAGCCUCUACAAUCCAUAUUCAGGGGACUGGCUAACAGAGAGACACUGCUGUCCAUUGUCUGGCUAGCUAAUAAAUCCAAUCUCCCUAUGAGCCUGUUGUGAACUUUGGUUAUACUUCCACAGGAUAGGGUCAAGAGACACUAACCUUAAUGAAUAGAAAGCUACACAUUUCCUGUAUUGGGAUUUUUUAGUGCAUUAUGAACCAUUUAGUCUUUUCUGGCAGCCUACACUUAAGGAAACAUGAAUUCUGGGAACAGGAAUGGAGCUUCUAAGCAUAGAUUCUAACCUGAGGUUAUUUUUGUUAAAUGUCAGCUAAUUCUGCCUAUGUAUAGUGAAUAGAAUUCAUGAUUAGAAUUUAAAUUAUCAGUUCCUGUUCCUACCUGCUCUGAUAAUUGGCCUCAUAAAGAUAAUUGAUAGCUUAUGCCUAAACUCAUGCCUGGUCAAGCCUUCUCCUUCUAUGUACGAAACCACUUUUAAGGGACAAGGAAUUGUUAAUUAAAUAACAUCAUAAGUAAGUGAAAAUAUAUACAUAAUGUUACCUUAAUGACUAUGCUCCAUAAAUUUCAAAGGCAGCCACACAAACAUAUAGAGAAUUCUCUUAAUGAAUAUUUUCACAUUUAGGUUAAGCCUACUAAGAUUCUCAUAGGAAGUCAGAUAAGCGACCUAGUUUUAAUAUGAAAAAUAUUUCAAUGUAUUUUAAUGGUAAUCUGUAUAUAAUGUAGUUAUCUACCUAAGGUGUGUUUUAAUUUUUUUUUCCUAAAAUAGACCUUAAUCUGACAUCAAUAUUUUUAUGUUCCUGUAAUGGCUGCAUUUGGGGAAAGAACUAUUGGAGACAUAAAGCAAUAUCUAAAUAGGAAUGGACAGGCAUCCACAGGGGCAAAAACAUGCACCAGCCUGAGCUCAGGAUACCUUUCAAAUGUAACCAGCCAACACUGUUAAUAAGUAGAAGCAGUGGAGAACCAUGCAGUAUUCCUACACACAACACAAAAUAGAGGUAAGUGACAAACCUACAGAUUGAAAGGUCAACAGGCUAUCUUUUAGGUCAGGCAAAGGAUGCAUACAAUUAGUGCUGAGGAAGAUUAAGUAUCUGAGGCUAGGACAAUAACAUCCACAUUUAGACCUUCUUGUAAUUAAUCCUUCAGUUUGAAGACAAUUUUACGUGCAUACACACACAUACACACACACACAUACAAACAUAUACAUUCACACACACACCCACAUGUCAAAUUUCAAAGUUUUGAGUCAUUAUAAAGUUUUGUUGAAGGCAUUUAGUAUAAUGUAACUGAAAUAACUGUUGGCAUAGUCGUGAUGGUUUGGAAUACUUAUAUGACCAAAGGGGUGGAGCUGUAGCUCAUAUCAAGAAAUGCUAAUUAGAUUUGGACUAUAAAUUGUUCCUAUCAGCCACAUUGACCAUACAGCUGUGACUUUUCGGUUAGGCUGUUUUAUUUGGUUUAUUUUUUGUCCAGGACAGCCAAAGAAUGAAGUAAUUUUAAUUGCAUAAAUUUGACUUUCAAUGGAUGCAGUCACUAAAUACUCAUCUCCAGAAUGAAGCUUUAGCUUGCAAAGCUAAAUAUAAAUUUCCUUAUAACUGAAGAGAAAAUACGCAUCUUGAAAUGGGACAAAACAAAGAUAUUUUCCAAUAUUAACUGCAAAGUCAGUAUUGUUUUCAUCCUUUCGUGUUUAUCCCCAUUAUCACAUUUCUCAAAAUGUGACAUUUAGUUUUUAUGAUCCAUCAAACCAACUAUUUGGAAGACUACCAAAUAUUAACAGAAUAAAUUCAAGACAAUUGUUUUUCUGUUUCAUCUUCUGUCCAAUAGAAAACCUUAGAAUGUAUGUGUACAUGUAUCUAUAUUUACAUAUGUCUUCUGUUAGCAAUUUACCAUUCUUAAAGUUUUGCUUAUUUUAAUCUGAAAACUCCCUUCUUAUAUGUGCAUGUAUGAUAAAUUUUUGAUAUUCAAGUAUUUAUAAUUAAAAGUAUUAUUCUGAACAUUAAUAAUCCA
rnacentral:lncRNA from 1 species